rnacentral:tRNA from 1 species
GCGGAUGUGGCGGAAUUGGCAGACGCGCAGGCUUCAGGUGCCUGUGGGGGCAACCCCGUGGAGGUUCAAAUCCUCUCAUCCGCA